GAUGAACGCUGGCGGCGUGCCUAAUACAUGCAAGUCGAGCGAACGGACGAGAAGCUUGCUUCUCUGAUGUUAGCGGCGGACGGGUGAGUAACACGUGGAUAACCUACCUAUAAGACUGGGAUAACUUCGGGAAACCGUAGCUAAUACCGGAUAAUAUUUUGAACCGCAUGGUUCAAAAGUGAAAGACGGUCUUGCUGUCACUUAUAGAUGGAUCCGCGCUGCAUUAGCUAGUUGGUAAGGUAACGGCUUACCAAGGCAACGAUGCAUAGCCGACCUGAGAGGGUGAUCGGCCACACUGGAACUGAGACACGGUCCAGACUCCUACGGGAGGCAGCAGUAGGGAAUCUUCCGCAAAGGGCGAAAGCCUGACGGAGCAACGCCGCGUGAGUGAUGAAGGUCUUCGGAUCGUAAAACUCUGUUAUUAGGGAAGAACGUAUGUGUAAGUAACUGUGCACAUCUUGACGGUACCUAAUCAGAAAGCCACGGCUAACUACGUG
rnacentral:rRNA from 1 species